rnacentral:sRNA from 1 species
AGUUGGCUGCGACCAGCGGUGACUUACAAGUUGGCUGCUAUCGCCUGCGCCUCGGCGGGCCGGGAGGCUGAGCAGUACUUUUGAGAGCGGUGUGAGGUGCUCGGUAGCGCGCCGUAGCUGCUUCUACGUCCUUGCUUCACCUCAGGUAAAGAAAGAUGUAACUGUUUGGAGAAAACCCUCAGAAGAAUUUAAUGGAUAUCUAAUUGCUGUGUGAUGCGUUACACUACUGCUGGUCAGCUUUGGAAUAUAAUUUCACCAAGAGAAUUUGUUGAUUUCUCCUAUACUGUGGGCUAUAAAGAAGGGCUUUUAUCUUGUGGUAAUAAUCUCAACAUGUUAUGCUUUUUUUCAGUAUGGUUUAAAUAUUUGUGUUCUCUCGGCUGGAUGUUUCUUUCCUUGUGAGAUAUAUUUUCAACUCUGACUCUGUAAUCACUAACAUUUUUUGCAAAUGCUAAACUCUAGGGAGUAAAAUAACAAUAUCAAAAGAGUUUUGAAACCUUUCUGAUUAGUUUUUGUUCCCAGUUACACAGUAUCCUCUAGGUCAGAGGUAGCAAAUGGGGAUCACAUGACUGCCUCUAAGAAAGGGUUCUAGUAAAUGGAUUUUCUUCUAAGCCACUCUCAGAAAACAGUUUCUUGGUCAUACACAUAGAAAUACUAGAUUUUGUAUGUUUUAGAAUAUUCUUCCUUCCUUGAGCUGUGUUGUAUUUUUCUU